UACGGAGGAUCCGAGCGUUAUCCGGAUUUAUUGGGUUUAAAGGGUGCGUAGGCGGCCUUGUAAGUCAGGGGUGAAAGACGGUAGCUUAACUAUCGCAGUGCCUUUGAUACUGCAGGGCUUGAAUAUACUUGAGGUAGGCGGAAUGUGACAAGUAGCGGUGAAAUGCAUAGAUAUGUCACAGAACGCCAAUUGCGAAGGCAGCUUACUAAGGUAUGAUUGACGCUGAGGCACGGAAGCGUGGGGAU
rnacentral:rRNA from 1 species